UGCACUGCAUGCAGAAUCCUUUGUCGUGGGAAAAGCACAGGAAGCACAAUACUGCAACAUCUGCAACUGCUCUGCCCUGCUGGGAUUGAACUCUAAUUUUCUACAUAAUGAUGGAGAUGAAUAUCCCUUAAAGGUGCAAAUGUAGGACAGGUCUUCACAGGGAAGAAUGUCUGCUAAUGAGGACCUCUCCCCACACAGAAAACUGUUCUCAGACACAAUGAGGGGAUACUCAUCAGAACUUGAAGCCCAACAAGAUUGCACUGCCCCUUCAACAAAACUCUGCAUCUGAAAGUAAAAUUAAUUCUCUGAGGCCCUGCUCCCAGAGUCAGAAUGAGAAGGAUACCAGCAGUGCCACCCAUAAAUAUUGAAACUGUGUCAUCUGAGGGAAGAAAAUGAAGACAUCUUCCAAAAAUGGAAGUUAUAUAAAAACUGAUGCAUGGUAUACAAGGGGCCUUCUCUGUUUUACAGAUUGGUUCUCCUGCUGGGGAAGUCAAAGAAAAAAUUCAGGUGGUGGAGGAGGAACUCCAGGCAGUCCAUCGCCAUCUGGAAGAGCAACAGGGCACGAGUGCCACAUCUCCUGGGAGACCUCCGGGGGUGGCAGCACACCAGGAGCCUCU